GACGAACGCUGGCGGCGUGCCUAAUACCUGCAAGUCGAACGCAGUGGGGACGGGUGAGUAACACGUGGGUAACCUCCCAUCAGAGGGGAUAACACUUGGAAACAGGUGCUAAACCGAUACUGAUGGAUGGACCCGCGGUGCAUUUGCUGGUUUGUGAGGUAACGGCUCACCAAGGCCACGAUGCAUACCCGAGCUGAGGGGGUGACCGGCCACUCUGGGACUGGUACACGGCCCAGACUCCUACGGGUGGAAGCGUUAGGGAAUCUUCGGCAAUGGACGAAAGUCUGACCGGGCAACGCCGCGUGAGUGAAGAAGGUUUUCGGAUCGUAAAACUCUGUUGUUAGAGAAGCGGUAUCUAACCAGAAAGCCACGGCUAACGAAGUGCCAGCAGCCGCGGUAAUAC
rnacentral:rRNA from 1 species